UGGGGAAUUUUGGACAAUGGGCGAAAGCCUGAUCCAGCAAUGCCGCGUGUGUGAAGAAGGCCUUCGGGUUGUAAAGCACUUUUGUCCGGAAAGAAAUCCUUGGCUCUAAUACAGUCGGGGGAUGACGGUACCGGAAGAAUAAGCACCGGCUAACUACGUGCCAGCAGCCGCGGUAAUACGUAGGGUGCAAGCGUUAAUCGGAAUUACUGGGCGUAAAGCGUGCGCAGGCGGUUUGCUAAGACCGAUGUGAAAUCCCCGGGCUCAACCUGGGAACUGCAUUGGUGACUGGCAGGCUAGAGUAUGGCAGAGGGGGGUAGAAUUCCACGUGUAGCAGUGAAAUGCGUAGAGAUGUGGAGGAAUACCGAUGGCGAAGGCAGCCCCCUGGGCCAAUACUGACGCUCAUGCACGAAAGCGUGGGGAGCAAACAGGAUUAGAUACCCUGGUAGUCCACGCCCUAAACGAUGUCAACUAGUUGUGGGGAUUCAUUUCCUUAGUAACGUAGCUAACGCGUGAAGUUGACCGCCUGGGGAGUACGGUCGCAAGAUUAAAACUUAAAUGAAUUGACGGGGUCAUAGCUGUUUCCU
rnacentral:rRNA from 1 species